UACGAAGGGGGCUAGCGUUGUUCGGAGUUACUGGGCGUAAAGCGCGCGCAGGCGGUUUUUCAAGUCAGUGGUGAAAGCCCGGAGCUCAACUCCGGAACUGCCAUUGAAACUGUAAAACUUGAGGACGAGAGAGGUGAGUGGAAUUCCCAGUGUAGAGGUGAAAUUCGUAGAUAUUGGGAAGAACACCGGUGGCGAAGGCGGCUCACUGGCUCGUAUCUGACGCUCAGGCGCGACAGCGUGGGGAUCAAACAGG
rnacentral:rRNA from 1 species